rnacentral:rRNA from 1 species
CAGUAGGGAGGAAGGUAGUGUAGUUAACACCUGCACUAUUUGACGUUACCUACAGAAGAAGCACCGGCUAACUCCGUGCCAGCAGCCGCGGUAAUACGGAGGGUGCGAGCGUUAAUCGGAAUUACUGGGCGUAAAGCGCAUGCAGGCGGCCUGUUAAGUCAGAUGUGAAAGACCCGGGGCGUUAACCUCGGAAUUGCAUUUGUAAACUGGCAGGCUAGAGUCUUGUAGAGGGGGGUAGGAAGUUUCAGGUGUAGCGGUGAAAUGCGUAGAGAUCUGAAGGAAUACCAGUGGCGAAGGCGGCCCCCUCGGACAAAGACUGACGCUCAGAUGCGAAAGCGUGGGGAGCAAACAGGAUUAGAUACCCUGGUAG